rnacentral:lncRNA from 1 species
UUACUCUUAUUUUCUCAUCAGUUUCUUUUCCUUGCUCUUCUCCAACUCUCAAGAGUCAAAAUCGCUAGUUUAAAACAUGACACUCGACAACCUUAAUUGCUGCCCAACACAAGGUGAAAUUUUAUCACGUCUAAUUAUAUUGUAUUUAUUUUUUGUAAUGUGUAGAUUGUUUGAGUUUAGUUGGUUGAUUACUUGAUUUUAGAUACGAAUGUGAAGUAAAAUGGUAUCUGGACAUUCGAUUUUGUUCAUGUUAGGCAAUGUGUUUGUAAAAUAGUUGUGUGUUGUUUGAGGUUAUUUUGAUGCUGGCUUGGAUGCUUUAACGUGGUGAUACUGACUUAGUUAUGUAUAUGUUUGCUUUAUGUGAUGUUGGCAGCCUCAUUUUAUCGUGGAAGGGGUUUCUGAAAGGCCCAAAAACUUACAUAUGCUUGGCUGUCCGUCAUGGAAUUUUGUGGUUUCCUCUGUCUUAAGCACUUGAAUGUGAUCUCAAUUGUUGGUUUACUUAUGAUAGCCGUUUACCUUAACGAUAUCCUCAAACUUAGUAUGAAAAGCAGAUUCCACAAGCUUGAAGCUACUUCUUAAAAAAAUAAUUUUCCUCAUUUUGUUUGAUUUUACGAAUGUGGAAGUAAUAAUUUGAGUUUUAGAAAGUGAUUAGAUAAUCUUGAAAACUCCAGAUUAAUGUAAGUUCUAAUCUGUUUGAAUAGCUUCCAUGGAUGGAAAAUAUUUUACCAACUUAUAUCUACUUAGCCUAAGAAACUCGUUUAAAUAAUGGCACUGUUUUGGGUUCUAAAUUGAGUUGAAUAGUUCAUAAUUAUUCCAUUGCGAAAACUUCGAAUAGUUGCAACUUUUUCACUGUUUUUCAUAUGUUUAUCCAAGUCAAUCACUUCAACAUGACCAAGUAGAAAUGAACAGAGAACUUGAAACAAGCUCAAGAAUGAUGUGUUGAAACUAUUGAAUUGUGCAACUAUUUCCUUGUUUAAAUACAUAUCUAUGAUAUGUUUAAUAAGUGAAGAAUGCAGAACAUAUGACUGCUUCCUUUUGAUUAGAGGUCCAAUCCGUUAAAGUUGCUUUCCUUAUGUUUUUUUCUCAUUUAAUCGUACGCAAUCUUUAGUUACCUCAUUUUCUGUAAUUAGCUAUGUGAAUAAUCUCAAAAAUAUGAGUGUGGAAGUGAUUCAACAUAGCUUUUUGUAUCUUUUAAUUGGAUUUUCUCUUCAUGGAAAUUUAAGGUUAUUAGUACUACUUCUUGAUUAUAUUUUCCAGUAAGCUACCAUGACUGAAUAAAUUAUUUUAAAGUUGAGAUUUAGGAUAACAUUUUCUCUUUAAUGGGAGAACUUCACCAAUUUGGACCAAAUGAGUUAAGUACACAACAGUUUGAAAUAAUCUUUUUUUUUAUUUCUAUUUUGUGUAUUGUUUAAGCUAACGUAUAGUUUAAAAUGUUUCCCUAUUGAUAUGUUUCUUCUCUAAUCUGCUCAUUUUGGUUUAUCUAGUCACUUUCUAAUCACUCUUUCUUUAUUUGAUUUAUUUCUUGUACAUUCGGGAGCUGGAUUUCAUUUUGGAAUUCAUUUGACCCCGAAAUAUCGGGUCGGCAACUAUAGAAAUCUGCGUUACUUCAUAGUCAAGCAUUAGGAGUUUUCUUAACUCCCUCCACCGGUUACUUGUGUUAUUAUUAUUGUUGAUAUUGCUACAGAAUAAUUCUAUGUUUUGUGUGAAUUGGUGUCGACUCACAGCUUUAUUUGUAAUUAGUUUAGGUGUACGUGUUUUACUCGUGUACCUUAUUUUAGUGAGUUCAAACAUUACACUAAAUAGAAUAUUUAUUUAAAUAAUAAAGAUGAAUAUAAUAAUUAAAUUUAAUAACUUUUGAGAAUUUAAGAUGGAGAAUUUAUUUAUUAAAUCUAAUCUUUACCAAAAAUAUUUUUAAUAGUCAACCAACAUUCAUCUAUUAUCUGUAAAUUGCAACAAAAUAAUAUAAUGAUAGACAUCAAAAUAAUACAAUGAAAUCUAAUCUUUACAUACAAAAAAAUUUUCAAAGUCGUUCGAUACUCAUCUACCACCUGUAAACAAUAACAAAAUAAUACAAUAAUAGAGAUAUCAAAAUAAUACAACUAAACCUAACCUUUACAUAAGAAAAUUCAUCAAAUCCGGUCAAUAUUUAUCUAUUACCUGUAAACUGCAACAAAAUAAUACGCUAAAAGUGAUAUCAAAAUAAUACAAUUAAAUUUAAAUUUUACACAAAAAAUUUUCGAAGCCGAUCGAGAUUCAUCUAUGAACUGUAAACUACCACAAAAUAACAAACUAAUAGAGAUAUUACGAUAAUAUAAUUAAACCUAACCUUUGCCUAAAAAAAAAUUCAAAGCCGACACACAUUCAUCUAGCAUCUGUAAAUUCAAAUAAAACGAUAAGAUAAUAAAGAUAUCAAAACAAUACAAUUAAACCUAACGUUUACACAAGAAAUUGUUCAAAGCCAACCAACAUUCAUCUAUGACCUGUAAACUAUAAAAAAAAAAUAUAAUAGCAAUCACAAAGCUUCGAUUUUGAUCCAACUAAUUCUUGUCUGAGCGAAAAUUUUGACCCUAAAGAAUGAUUUUGAAUGAAAACAAAGAAGAUAUAUAUACACACACAUAUUGAAUUCUAUUGUGCUGACAAAAAUAGUGAAGAAGUCGAGAGUCAGAAAAUCAAGCAUCCACCAAUCUAGAUAUGCAAUCGAAUCAACUUAGAUGAGCAUCAAUCAUAUUCUCUCAAUAGGCAAAUCGGUUUGUUCUCUACUUUUACAUACAUCUCAAUAUUUAUAGAAGUAUUUUCUUAAUAGAGUCCUAUUUUAGGAAUAUUUUUCUAAUUAAAUAGUAGAAAGAAAAAUAUUAAUUUAUUAUCCUACCAUAUAUUUUAGGAAUCUCAUAUAUUUUAGGAAGACUAAUUAAUAUAAUAAAAAAUAAUUAAAUAAUAAUUUUAAAAAAUAGUGAAAAGACAAUUUUAUCUAAAGAAGAGACUUUUAAUGAAGGAAAAAAAGUUUAAAUCACUUUUAUAAGGGUCUUCACAUUUUUAAUAUACUAGUUUUGGUGUACGCCUCUCGUGCGUGUAUCUCAUUUUAAUAAGUUUAAACAUUACAUAAAAUAUAAUAUUUAUUUAAAUAAUAAAGAUAAAUACAAUAAUUAAAUUCAACAUCUUUUGAAUAUGUAAAGAUGAAGAAUUUAUUUGAUUAGUUAUAUAGUUGUUGUAAAUAUCUAAGAUACAAAUGAGGCAAGUGAAAUACAUUGAUAACUCCUUAAAUUAUGGUUGGUUCCUUCAAUAAGCCGAUGAUUGGUGCUUGAUAAUUCAUAAAGUUGCAUAAUUUGGACUUGGUUCCAUCCCAAAAGUGCAAGAUUUGACCUGUUGAUUUCAUGUUUAAUCCCUCUUCUUGAUUAAAUAGUCUAUAUCUCAUUUCUACCGCUUCAAAUAUAGUCAGACUCUUUGUCUGCACUUCAUCCAUAAUUUUAAAUUUUAGUUUGUAACAUGGAUCCAAAUAAAAAUAAAAAUAAUGUCUUAGAAAAUAAAAAAAAAUAUAUUUAAUAUGAUUUGAUCAAGUGAAAUAAAUAUUGAAAAACUACUAUUAAAAAAUAUACAUCUUAUUGAGAAAAUAAUCUCAUGUCAAUCAACCAAUUCUAGUAAAUUUCUAUGUGAAUGGAGAUACAAAUAUAUAUUAUUUUAAAUAUAUAACAUUUUAAAUAUAUAAUUUGAAAUAUAUAUCAUUUUAAUUCUAUAACUAUUGAUGUAUUAGCAUAAAAAAUUGAAUGAAAGACAGAUGUUCCAUCUUUAGACGGAAUAUUUUGCAUCUUUUUCUUGAGAAAAUUGUGUGUUUUCAAGCAACUAAAGUUGUAUUUAACAAUGGAUUUGAGUGUUUUUAGGUUAAGAAGUUAGUUGAAGAAGAAAACCUGGAAAAGUAACAGAAAAGGGUCAUUGAUAAUCUAACUGGCCGAUCGUCAACCAUGCGACGGACCGCUGGGGUGGCCGUUAGAGUAAACCAGAAAGAAUCAAAUAAGAGACCCCUGCGACGGUCUAAUUGGAAGACCGUUAAUUAUCUGAUAGGCCGCCAACUUAGCCGUCAGGUCUAAACAGAAUCUGGAAAUUUGGAAAGUCAAGCGACGACCCAAGUGACGGACCGCCAGGACAGAGACAGUCCGUCGGGUUAUCCGUCGAUACUUAACAAAACCUGAAAUUAUGGAAACUCCAGUAAAGGUCCACCCGAUGGACCGUCAGUCCAUCGAUGGACCAUCGAGGUGACCGUUAAAUUAGACGCGGGUUUUCUGAAUUCAAAUUUUAAAUUCUUUUUACCUGGGAGCAUAUAAAUACCCAGUCAGGGUUUUAUUUCUAUCAUCUUGGGUAUUGUUACCUUAGUUUUUCCAUCUUUUAAAACCCCUUAACGUAGUAUUCUAGGAAUCAAGCUAAACUUGUGGAUCUAAUCAUUCCAUUUUCUAUUGAAGAUUCAAGAACUACUACUUGUAAUUUUUGUAAGUGAAUUCUGAAUUUAUUUAUGAACAACACGAAGACUUUGUCUCUUUUUUCUAUAGAGAUGUGUGUCUAAGCUUCCAUAACUAGUGUUAUGGGAGCCUUGAUGUGAAAUACUGAUUUGGGUUGUGAUUCUAAUUGAGUUCCAUAGGUAAUUGACAUUGUAUAACCCUCCUUCAUUUUAAUGACUUUUAUUGGUUGCAAACUUGAAAGGUGAGCCCAAAAACAUCACUUGUCCAAAUAGGAAAGUGUUGUUGGGAAAAGAAAAGGUUUACAUGGAAUUUGGAGGCUUUAACCUUUGAAUUAAUGGCAAAUGCCUUAACAGGAUUAACCUACAUGAGAAAAUAGUUGAAUAAGCAAUGAAUUCUUUAAGUUUGAGAAAAUUAAAGGUUAUACUAUCCAUUUAGGUUGAGAAACUAAUGGGUAAACAAUAGGAUUCAACUACUCUUAAAAUUGAAGUUAUUAAUUGGAACUCUAAAGUGAUUCACAACCUUAGAUGUUGAAGCAUCUUGGUGACCACAACUCUAGUAUGUUUACUAUCAUUGAAUUACUACUUGCAAAAUGAAUCAUUAGUAGGAACAACUCUGUUGCAAUUAUUUAGAACAUAAUCUAUAAACCAACUCCCUUUACGUAACACCUGAUUAUGUGCCAUCAAGUGCGUCUGCAGGGUUAGAAUCUGCACCACCAAUGGGUGGGGUAGAAUUUGCAGAAUAUAGGUAAACGUAGGAAAACUUCACCAAGUCUGUGAAAUUGCAAAAGAAAUUCACGAAGUAGCUUGACACUUGGACUGUAGAAUUCAAGCCUUACGUUGAUGGAAUUAUAGCUGAGGUAAUCCAUCCAUUCCAAGACAUUCAGAUGGGGAUUAAUCAAAUGGAGGAACGAAUCAACAAAAGGAUGGAUUCACUGUCCAUUCCAGACUUGGCAAACAUGGCAUAGUUUAAGAAGGCACAAGCUGAUAUCAAAAAACUGAAGAGAAGGCAGCCAUAGCAUACCAUUUUUUAUCCAUAUUUGGUAAUGAGUGAUGAUGACGAAGGCAUUGUUGAUCUAAUGGGAAGACCAUUGAAAGAUAAAGGGAAAUAGUGGGUAGAUGAAUGUGCCAAAAAGAAAGCUAAAAAGAGGAGAAAGAGAGAGGCUAGGUUGCUGGAGGAGCGAGAGUAUUAUGAUAUAAAGAAGGCCUCAAAAAUAUCAAGGAGAGAUAAAGAGAGAAUAAGAAAGAAAGUAGAAGAUAAAAUGGUUGGAGUGUCUACCAGUUCCGCCCCAGUAAGGGGGACGACUUCAAACCCUAUUUAGGAUGUGGUACCUUCAAUUUCGGAGGGAGAGUUUAUGAGUACGUUGUACCAGGUGAAGAAAAUGGAGCCUCACCAUAUUUCACAGAUGCCUCAGAUGAAUAAGAGGCAUUAUAAGUAUUUCCCCUCAUCUGUACUUAAAUUUUAUGCAUUUGAGGAUAAAGCAUAUAUUAUUCUGCAGAGGGGUGUACUUGUACCAUGGGGGGUUGUAUUGCCGAUAUUAUUUUCCUCUUAUGUGCUAUCUAGGAGAAUUGGCAUGUCUAGGAUUAUGUUUAAGUUCGCAUUUUUCUUUUCUAGGAUUAUGUCUAGGACUAUGUUUGUUAAUGUUUGUUUCUUAAAUAAAAGUAUCUUUUAAUUUUUCAUCUUGUUGUAUAUAUGAAUGAUGAUUGAUGUUGGAAUAAGGCUAUGAGCAUGUAUGUGUGAUUAUUUACUUUAGUCAUUUGACAUAUGUAAGAAACCUUCAGUGAUUUUGUAACUGGCAUUAACAUGUGAGAUGUGCAUAAAUCAUGUGAUGGAAAUCCUUAAGUUUAACUCAGUUACCUCUGUGUGUGAGAGGAUUUGUCUUUAUUUCUUGCAUGGUAUAGUACCUAAAACUUUCUCGGUUCAUUAAGGUUUUCUUGUAGUUGAUUCAAUAGGGAAAGAUAGCAGGUUUCCUUGUACAGUUAGUCCACUUAGCCAAAAUAAUUAACCCUAUCAAAAAGAGUUUUCCAUAUUUGAACCCUUUUUGAGCUUGUAUUAGUUUUAUUCAUCACCAAUAUCUCAAACUAACUCUCUUUAGGGUGUUAGUAUCUAACUCUGGCCCUGGUCCAAUAUUGGAGAUUGUGCACCUUAACUCAGGCAAAACACCUAAGUUGAGGGUGGCUAUUAUCAAGAUGUUGAGCAUCUAACAAAAAGUUGGUUUAGAACUUAGUUUUAAAAAGCAUUUUGCCCUGAUCUAUUCAAGAUAUUGUGCACCUUAAAUGAUUGCAUUAACAUAAGUUGAGGGUGGUUGAUGCUUGUAAAAAAGGGGGAUUAUGUCAAAGUGAGGCUGAAUGAUAGAAGUUGUAAAUGAGUUGAUAAAAUAGUAGCUUGGUUGAGUAAGAAUGCAAGGGAAAAGAAGUUUAUGUCUGAAUGUUGAGUCACUUUUACCAAAUUUUAUCCUCACCUAGCCCGAAGCCUCAUUACAAGCUUGAAAAAGACCUCCUUGAUCCUGACGAAUCAACUAUAAGGAGCGUUAGAUCGUAAGGGCAAGCCUAUGGGUAUGUAGACUGUGCUUGUAACUUCUUUGUUGAGUGUGAGAGUUUAGAUUGUGACCAUAAAAGAUAAUGAGUGGUGGACUUUAUUACAGUGAUAGAAACUUGAGUUUUACUUAGUCUUGCUAGUCUCUGUGGGAUAUGAUGUCUAUGAUUAUAUGUGUGUUGAUAUUAAAUCAAUGCCGGUUGUAGAUCUUGAUGUGUUGAGCACAUAUGUGUGAAUGGCAAGUGAAUGGUUGUACUGAGUCUAGUUCAAUAGUCGAUUGCAUGUCAUUGAAUUGUUUAUGUUUACAAUUUGGUGUUGAGUUGCUUGAGGACAAACAAUUAUCUUAAGUUAAGGGUGUUAAUGUUCCGGUUUAAGACAAAAAAGUUUGCAUUUUUUCUUGAGAAAAUUGUGUGUUUUCAAGCAACUAAAGUUGUAUUUAACACUGGAUUUGAGUGUUUUCAGGUUAAGAAGUUAGCUGAAGAAGAAAAUCUGGAAAAGUAACAGAAAAAGGUCAUUGACGGUCCAACUGGUAGACCGUCACCCAUGCGACGGACCGCUGGGGUGGCCAUUAGAGUAAACCAAAAAGAAUAAAAUGAGAG